rnacentral:rRNA from 1 species
UACGGAGGGUGCAAGCGUUAUCCGGAUUCACUGGGUUUAAAGGGUGCGUAGGUGGGUUGGUAAGUCAGUGGUGAAAUCCCCGAGCUUAACUUGGGAACUGCCAUUGAUACUAUUAAUCUUGAAUACCGUGGAGGUUAGCGGAAUAUGUCAUGUAGCGGUGAAAUGCUUAGAUAUGACAUAGAACACCAAUUGCGAAGGCAGCUGGCUACACGAAUAUUGACACUGAUGCACGAAAAGCGUGGGGAUCAAACAGGAUUAGAAACCCCUG